rnacentral:rRNA from 1 species
AGAGUUUGAUCCUGGCUCAGAUUGAACGCUGGCGGCAUGCCUAACACAUGCAAGUCGAACGGAGGUAGGGGCAACUCUACUUCAGUGGCGGACGGGUGAGGAAUGCGUCGGAAUCUACCCUAUGGUGGGGGAUAACACAGGGAAACUUGUGCUAAUACCGCAUGAUGUCGAGAGACCAAAGCAGGGGACCGCAAGGCCUUGCGCGAUAGGAUGAGCCGACGCCCGAUUAGCUAGUUGGUAGGGUAAUGGCCUACCAAGGCGACGAUCGGUAGCUGGUCUGAGAGGAUGAUCAGCCACACUGGGACUGAGACACGGCCCAGACUCCUACGGGAGGCAGCAGUGGGGAAUAUUGGACAAUGGGCGCAAGCCUGAUCCAGCAAUGCCGCGUGUGUGAAGAAGGCCUGCGGGUUGUAAAGCACUUUUGUUCGGGAAGAAAUCAUGCUGGCUAAUACCUGGUAUGGAUGACGGCACCGAAAGAAUAAGCACCGGCUAACUUCGUGCCAGCAGCCGCGGUAAUACGAAGGGUGCAAGCGUUAAUCGGAAUUACUGGGCGUAAAGGGUGCGUAGGCGGCCUUUUAAGUCGGAUGUGAAAUCCCCGGGCUCAACCUGGGAAUGGCAUCCGAUACUGGGAGGCUAGAGUUUGGGAGAGGGUGGUGGAAUUCCCGGUGUAGCGGUGAAAUGCGUAGAGAUCGGGAGGAACAUCAGUGGCGAAGGCGGCCACCUGGCCUAAAACUGACGCUGAAGCACGAAAGCGUGGGGAGCAAACAGGAUUAGAUACCCUGGUAGUCCACGCCCUAAAC